rnacentral:lncRNA from 1 species
AUCGAGGAGGUAGAGCCACACGCUUACCUUAGGGAAACACCUUGCACGUUAUAACUGGACAGGUAAAUGUUUGGUGAAAGAGGAUAAAGGAAAUAGAGCCGGUGGCGUGCGAGGAUAUUCAGGAAAACGUCCGGGGCACUGAACUCCCACCACCACUUAGGGAGGCUUUUCCUGUGGAGCCUCGCCCUCCGGUCGGAAGUCGCCUCAACCUGCCUGCCCGGAAGCCGUCGCCUUAGCAACACAGCGUUGUCCCGUCCUCUUCCCUUAGCCACGCCCAUUGUACUUAGAAUUCUAGAGCCAGCCAGACAUCGAUUGGUUCACUUAUCCUUCACUCCGCGAGACAGGCGAGACUGCAGGGCUCUGGAGCGCGUUUUUGAAUUUGUAGCGCGUAUAGAGUCCGUGAGGUACCUUGUGGAGUUCGUGCUGUGGCUGGAGCCAGCUACUCAGGGUGAACUCUGAAGUCCUGAGCUAUGGCAGAACUCAAGCCCCUCAAGUCACAUAGAAAUCUACCCAUCAAACACUGGAUUGCCAUAGAGAUCGUACCCCAUAUCCUGGAGAAAGGACUGCUGCACAGAGAAGCCAAAAAGAACAGACAGCCUCAGUGGAUUAGCAACCAUGUCUAUGCAGCGGUGUCUCCACAAAAACCCUAAAAGGUGCCAGGUAAAAAGAUCAGAGCUACAAAAUAAUUGACUAAUUACUUCAAAAGUGACAACAUCCCUCUUCAAAAUGAAAGGACAAAAACAAACACAUACAAAAA